GCCAGCAUGGCAUAGUGGAUUUUAGUGUUGCACUACAACUCUAUAGACCAGGGUUCAAUUCCCAGCUUGGUCA